rnacentral:ncRNA from 1 species
AUUUGUCGUCUGUCUUGUUUGAAAUCUUGUCCAAACAAGACUUGCAGCAGUUAAAUCA